CGGAAGCCGCCGGGGCCGCCUAGAGAAGAGGCUGUGCUUCGGCGCUCCGGCUCCUCAGAGAGCCUCGGCUAGGUGUGGAAACAGGAAGAGAACUAGAACUGGAAGUAAAGCAUUGAAGAUGUGACUGAAUUGCUGCAAUCUCAUGAUCAAAUUUGAAUGGAUGAGGAGUUGCUUUUUAGGGAUGAGCAAAGAAAGUUGCUCCUUGAGGGCAGGACAGUUCUUAUGGCUUUAUCCGUUGCGUAAGCACAGAGAGGUCUGCGAGGUCAAAACUAUUGUCAUGAUAGCAAGAUGCCUGUCUUUUUCAUUUAUUCUCACGGUGUGCAGAGGCUACAUGAUGUGUGAUGACAUCCUCAUUGAUGUUAAUGAAUGGUGCUAUACUUGAAUUUUCUAAGGUGUCAUUAGGUAGGUUUAGGUAUGCAUACUUGUUUUUAGAAAUUAUUUUUUUCCUUUUUCCCAUUUUUAGAAAUCAACUCAUUUUUUAGGUUAUGCCUUCAGUAAUCUUUGCAACCUCAAUAUUGUGUAAUGGUUACUUUAAAAUACUGUAGUUUUCUUUGUGCCUAAGUAUAAACAUAAGUACAUUUUGUUGUUUUGUUUGCAAUAGUGGUUUAAAUAUUUUCCCAAAAUAUCCAAAUUUAAAAAUUCUACAACUUUAGAAUUUAAUAAAUUUAUUCUAAAAUAUUUAUAUAUUUUUUCAUUUAAGAAUGGAUCGGCUUAAAAAGACUGCUUCUCAUUUACUUACUGGCUAUACCAUCUGUAUACUAAUAAAAAACAAGAUUUGAUUUGGAAGGACUGACUCAAACUAACGAAAAUAUGAAACCUGUCUUUCUGCUUUGGAGAUAUUUACCUAAUCAUGUUCUGCAGUAGAAUAAUUUAGUUCUUUUGUCUUUUUUUGGAGAUGAGGUCUUGCUGUGUUGCCCAGGCUAUUCACAGCUGCCAUCAUAGUGAACUACAGCCUGAAACUCCUGGGUUCAAGAGAUCCUUCUGCCUCAGCCUCCUGAGUAGCUGGAACUAUAGGCAUGCGCCACCAAGCCUGGGCUUUUAAAAAAAUUUUAAAAAGAAUUUUGAGACAGGAUCUUGCCAUGUUGCUCAGGCUAGUCUUCAACUCCUAGCCCUGAGUGAUCUUGCUUUGGGCCUCUCAAAAUGUUGAGUUAAUAGGCGUGAGCCACCAUACCCAGCCAAAAAUUUUUUUAGAGAUGGGAAUGGAAUGAUCUUGAAUAGUGUUGGUGCCACCUAUGUUGUGGCAUCAUUUUGAAACCAAUCAUUCAGAGUGCUUUUUUUGGUAAGGCAUUAUUUUUUAAUGCAGGUAUGCCACUACUGGGAAAAAAAAAAAAACAGGUUUUAAAGCUAGAAAUGAAAAGCUACUUAAGUAUCUUAAAGGAUAAGUUACUUUAUUAUACACUAGAAACAUACACAAUAGCUGAAAAACUUAAAAAAUCUCACACUGCUGAAUGUCUCUGCUGGCUGAAGUGUAAGUAAAAGAUCAUAGUAGUGCCGCUGUUGAGUGAUAAAGCAACUUGUCAUUAAAGAUGUGUGUGCAGACAUGGAUUCUGAGUUAAUAUCUCAUCUGUAGAAGUAUAUAUUUGUCCCUUGCUUUGGGAUUGGUUUCUGGACAGCACUCCCCCACCCUUGCUGGCCAUUUGCCAAGGACACCAAAACCCAAGGAUGUUGAAUUCCCUUUUAUAAAAUGGCGCUGUAUCUGCAUACAACUUACACACAUCCUCCCAUAUACUUUAAAUCAUUUCCAGAUUUCUUAUACUUCAUACAAUGUGAAUGCUAUAUAAAUAGUUGUUACAUUGUGUACUUAUAUUU
rnacentral:lncRNA from 1 species